AUGCUCACUUUGGCAGCACAUAUACUAAAAUUGGAACAAUACAGAGAAGAUUAGCAUGGCCUCUGCACAAGAUUGACAUGCUAAUCUUCUCUGUAUUGUCUUUUUGU
rfam:Otolemur garnettii contig053272, whole genome shotgun sequence.